CAAAACUUAUGCCUACUAGAAUUUCUGUUGGCAUGUCAGCUAGUAUUAAUGCACUUGAAAGUUGGAAAUCAGAUUUUGUUAGCCAAAUCUGCUGAUGAGGUAAAAUGUAUGAAACCAAGUAGGAAAGAAAGCUGAAGAUAAAAACAGAUAAAGUAAAAUUAUGAUAAAAUGGUAUGUUGUGCUCUUGUGUUUCUAUAGAAGAAUCUGUGAACUGUUAACGAAAAAAAUGAAUGAAAACUGAAGGAGGUUGGAAUGUUUUUGUUGCAGGUGAAGCACAUUGAGAAGGUGGUGUUUUUUUUUAAAUUCUUCUAUUCAUUUUACUAAACCCUUCUUUCUCGCAAGGUUGUAAGACAUGUUUAAAAACAUCUUGGCAAGGAACUAGAAAGAUGAGAUGUAGACAAUAAAAAAUAAAGUAAUUUUAAAGGUAAAGAGUUAAAUUUUUAUAAAAUAAUACUUAUAAAUGGUAAUUUUUCAAAAUGAAUUAUGAUCACUAAUUAUGCCACUUUAAUAAUAUUUUGACACGCUACUAUGAUAGUAGUUACUACGCUUAUAUAAUAGUAAAAAGGGUAAUUUUAUAUCUGAUUGUACUCUAGUAUCAUCUAUAACAAUAAAGUACGUAUCUUUAUCUGUGAUUUUACACUAAUACAUCUAUCUUCUAGCAUUUUUUUAAUAUCCUAAAUGCUUAAUAACAGCGGUUCUCAACCUUAAUCACUCUUGUACCACUGACUUUCUAACGAAUCCUUCUUGCUUACUCCCGUGGUACAUGUACAGUACCACUAAUUAUUUUAUUAUUAUAGUAUAAUGCUUAUAAGAUAGUUGUGUAGUAAAUAUAUAACAAAAUAAUAAUACUAUAAUGCUAUAUUUUAACAGCAUACAAUAGCAAACUA